GCCACCCUAGCUCAACCAGGCAGAGCAACGCAUUCGUAAUGCGUAGGUUAUCGGUUCGAUUCCGAUGGGUGGCUCCA
rnacentral:tRNA from 1 species